CGGCGCACAAACCAUCGUUUUGCAGCUUAUGAAGCUGUCGUCGGUUGAUAAGAUUCCUCCCUACACCACGUGGAUCUUCCUGGACAACGCAGAAACCAAAGAAUGGCCGAUGAUCAAUCAAUUGCUGGUAGGAGGAGAAUUUACUAUGAUUCAGCUCGCAACGAGGCUCUAAUCUGGAGUGAAAGUGAUGAACAAAUUGCACAACCUGAGGAAGAGAAGCAUGUUUUCACUGAAGCAGAAGAUCAGCUAAUAUGUGCAGGAAGUAAAAUAUGCGUCGGAGACGGCUAUGAAGGCAUGAACAUGAACCAGAGGGCCGUGAGGGACAUCAAGAAUAUGAUCAGCAUGUUUGUGAGAUGUUCUUCCAUGUUCAGAUUUUCACAUGACUGAUGCCCAGAGCUAGCAGGUCUCAGGACUGAGCUCGUGCCCAUGCGGCAGAGCAAGGGAUACUUAUGGAACAUAUACGUUGUGUCAAUGCAUCGUUAGGCGAACAUCUUUCUAUUUUGCAGCAAGUGCAGAUGGUUAUACGUUUGAAACAUCAACUGGCCUGUCAAGAAUGUGAGAGGCCCUCGGGAGUGAAAAAACUAUCGUUUGAGAUAGUUGUUGGAUUGAACAGCCGGAGCGUGGGCUUGUAGCUGAAUUUUCUGAUGAUAGACUGAACUCUAUAUGCAGUGGCAAGGCAGCUAGAGACAAAAAGGGAAUUGGUGAAAAAGCAACUCGCACAUCUAUAGGUCUCUUGGAAUCUCACAUUUAUCAAUUUAUGGAAAGGGGCAUCCAUUGGCAUUCUAAUAAUUUUGUUAGAGAACGGCAUAGACUGAGGCAGCCGAUGUGAACGAACACCGGGUACCCAUAAACAAGAGGAAAAAACAACACAUGUACAACGACAACAAGGUUAGCUAAGAAAAAAUCAGGCUGCCGGUGUCUAUUAACCCAGGGCAUGAUCUUGGGACGUCCGGCUUCUUUCCAAAGCGAGAUCUCAUCCAACAUCAAGUUGAAGACACUCCAAAUGGUGGAACUUAAGUUGCGGACAAUUCUGGUGUUUCGCUCCUUCCACGUGAACCACCAGAUAGCCUGCACUAAGUAGUUCCAUCCCUUCUUCUUCGGGGCAGCAAGACUGGCAGCGGAACUUUCCACUCGAUCCGAGAGGCGGGUGGUGUCGCUGGAGGGGCCUAAAGUAGCCGAGGUUGCAGGUAGCAGCAUGAGCCGCCAAAUAGCCUGAAAAAUAGGCAUUGAGUGAGCAAAAGAAUGUUGUCUUCAUCCGUUGAGCGACUCAUGUAGUACACGGGAUCAGGGGAGCAGUCCCUUUUCUGCACAUUGUCCCCGGUAUAUGUUGGCUUGGCCUUCUACUGCCCUUUUAGUUAUGUUACUGUCUAGAAAUAUUUGUAGUAGUUUUAAGAUUUGAAAGCUCAUUUUUAUUAACUUGCUGUGUAUGUGAUUGUGAACUACUUCCAUAUUUUAGAAAUAUUAUAACGGAAAAGUUUCUGGUCAGCCGGCGGAUCUGUCUGUGUGCACAUCAAUCGCCUUUCUGACCAUCGGAUCUUUUAUAAUCAGACCACUUUAAAGCAUC